GGCAAAGUAUGUAAACAGCACCUGUAAUUGUAACUGCCUGUUCUUAUCCCCAGUGAACCUGAUCUUGUGGCAACCUGAUCUCUGGGGCCUCCCUCACAUAAGCCAGAAACUCAGCCUCCCACCCUCCGAACUGCCUCCUGUAAUGGGCUAGGUUUGACGACCAUGAUGGGAUUAGUGCCAUUUGCUUAGUUUAAUUUCGGAUUUGUGCUAGCUCACAUAAGAUCAGCACUGCUGGACGGUUGCAAGGUUUUUUCCAAUGAAGGCUCUUAGAAACCACUUGAAAUGGCUGCCUCUAAGGUUCUGUGUAGGGCUGGGCUCUGGAGGGCAGCCAGGAGGUGAAGGAAGAGGCGGGGGAGGAGAAGGGGCAUCAGGCAGCAUCAGCCUAGCAGUCAAGCCCACCUAGGUGCCAGGCUCACACCUGGACUCAAGUAGGCAAAUGAGCUCGCUGCCCCCGCCCCCGGCCCACCCCACCAAGGAAGACAGCCGGGGCCGGAGCAGGGCCAGGGAGAGGGAUAAAAUUAAUCGAGAGGCUGAGGUGUGCAUGAGGACUACCAGGCAAGACAGACUGGUCUUUGGAUCUGGAAUGAUGAUGACCCAGGGAAUGUAGAUAUCAGCCCAUAAACAUGUGAAGGGGAAGCUAUGGCCAUGUGCACAUGCCAGAAGAUUUCCACCGGGAAGAAGAGGCAGUCCCUGAAACCAGAAAGAGGUAUAACCUAAAUAAUCCUCAAUUUCCAAAAGUCAAUCCACACAUAUGCCUGGGGUCCUGAUGUAGAAGAGGCAUUAAAACAUGAGGACAGAGACCAAAUGAAAAAGAGCCUCUUGAGACCAUCAGGGGAUCAAGACACGGAGACACAGAGGAUUUCACCUGCCAAGAAUCCCAGUGAUGAGGUGGCCAAGAUGGGACUUGAAUACAACCCACUCUGGUUUCAAUGCUUGUGAUUUUAACCACUACCUCAAUGCCCGAAGCUGUGACCCUGCUUUUCUCUGUACCUGGUGACCCUCCCCAUACUGAAUCUAGAGUCUGUGGUUGCCUUUGCUGAACUUUUUCUGGGGCACACGGGUGGAGAGAUACCUGCUUUCUCCUGUGGUCUCUGUACGACUCUGCAAAUUAAGUCCUUGCUAGAGUAGAGCCAGGGCAGGCAGUUGCUUCGUUCCUUGUGAAUGCUGAAGACUUGUUCAGAGAGGGGCUUCCCUUUGGGAAGGCUCCCAGUACAAGCCUUGAGGUUUCUAUCCAAAGAGUUUCUUUAAUCAUUCCCUUAAAAAGGUGUUAUCUCUGGGGAUGGAAAGAGUGGAAAGGUGUUAAAGUGUUCGUCUGAAAUCCCCCAAAACAUGGAGCUCCUGCAUUAAGUUUUUGGCUUUGUUUCUUCUUUUUCAAUGAAGCAUUUACAUCCAGCAAAAUCCCAAGCCUGAAGUGUGCACCAUGAUGAGUACUGACAGAUAUACAUAUAUACCGAUGUAAUCCACACCUCCAGUCAAAGUACAGAGUAUUUCCAUCACCCCGGAAAGUUCCAUCUGGUCUCUUUCCCAUUAAUCCACUUCUCUUCCCCUUCCCCACCCCCAGUGUUUCUUAUGACAUCAUGUAAUCAGAUCUGAUGUGGUUGAUCCCUAAAUCUUUACUGGGUUUCUCUCCCACCCUCAGGAGUCCUGUGUUUAACCAAAGCCUCCCAAAUCCCUUUCUUGCUUAUCUGUUUUGACUAACAUGAUGUCAUUGAUGUACCAGACGAAUAUGAUGUUCUGUGCGAUGGCCAGAUAGCUCAGAUCCCUUCAGAACACAUCAUGACCAAGGGUGGGAGGGCUAAGAUAACACCGGGUCAAGAUCAUAAAUAUAUAUGAUAGUUUAUCUCAUGGGAAUACCGACUGCUUCUGGUUCUCCUUCCUGAUAGGAUGGAAGAGAACACAUUCUCCUGAUCCGUGGCUCCAUUCCCUGUACAUGAGGCCAUGCAAUCUUCUCUAGUGAAAAUAGCACAUCUAGCAUCACAGCUGAGAAGGAGGUUACUGCUUGUUGAGUUCGUAUUAAUCUUCCAGGAUCCAUCUGGGUCUGCAGGGACCAAACUGCUGAAUUAUAUGAAAAUAAGAUGGGACGACCAUCCCCUGAAUUCUUCAGGUUUUUCUCGUCCUCCACAAUUUCCCCUGAGAAGAAACAUUCGUUUGGGUUUACUGUCUUGGUUGGUUGGGGUGAGGGUGUGAGGAGGUGAAAUUCCAGAGGCUUCCACUUAGCCUUCCUUACUCUGAUAACUGCAACCCCACAGGCCAAAGAACCAACGUGUAUAUGUGGUGGGUGUAGGGGGUAGUUGCAGCUUGCCAAUUCCAAUGAGAUAUUCAGAGACUGGGCAAAUAACUAUGGGGAGGAUUGAUAGGCCCAAUGAACUGGUGUGAACUGGGCCUUAACUGGGACCUUGUUUAUUAUGUGGGCCUUCUAUUCCCCCUCUAAUGGGAAGCACAAUAAAGUUUCAGGUCCUCAUAUAGCAAUGGUAGCAACAACCUAUGUCUGGCAAUCCUCAGAAUAUGUGAGCAGAGUCCAGACAGCCAAGUAGUGUAGGACCCUUGGGGGAAGGACUGGAGAGCCAUCUCCAAUCAUCCACCAUCAACCAGUCAUCUCCAGUGAGUCUGUUCCGGGUGUGAGAAAGCAGGCAAGGACUGGUACCUAUGUUGGGAAGGCUGCCCUCAGCCUCCUGAGCAUCCAUUCAUGAUUUAUUUCAACUAUGCCGAUUGUACAAAUACCCUUGUUGGCUGCCUAUCUUUCCUCUCAGGAUGCAAACUUCCUUUAACGGUUUCCAAGGCUCUCUGUGGGUCCCAUCCCCCACCUUGGUGCUCAGGAAGAUAGUUACACUUUCCUUGCACCUCAGGACGAGUGCUAUUUCUUGGCCUCUAUCACCCUCAUUGCUACCAGGGAGCCCAGUUCUAUAUCAUGAUCUCCCCCAGCAGCACUAACCUUCAGGGUCAAGGGUCAACUUUGAACUUCAAGGUCAUUCUUUUGCUUUGGCAAAGGCAGUGUUACUCUAGGCCUUCCUGUGGAACAUAUCAGCUGGUGGGUUCUAUGGCUUUACAUAGUAUAUUGACUCUAGCUCACCCACUGUUCCAAGCCUUUGGAUCCUUCCUCCACCAUCUGCCAUGACAGAUCAGGAAAUCUUGACUUCACUUAGCCAACCCCACAGGACACCAGCUCCAUUUCCCGGGUCCCUUGCCAGGAUGUUAAAUGCUGCAUCAAAGGAGAGUGCUCCCCUCUCGAUAAUGCUUCCUCUACCCAAUUCCACAUUUCAUCUCCCUCUGCCUUGCAUCCUCACGAUCCCCAUGGCUCCUGCAGGGGUCAUAGUUGACUGGGUCCCACAGCUCCUUAGGGCCAUAACCCCUUUCCUCCACCAGCAGGACAACACUUCCCUGGCCAGAUUAUGUUGUGACUGGCCCGUAGUUAUUGUUCUGGCGGAAGGGGGCGGAGCUAGGAGAUUUCCAGGGACCCAGGGGAGGUGUAGGAGAGAGUGGUCACGUAUUGUCUUGCAAAGCAGACCUUGUCUUUGUCUUCAGGCAAAGGCUGACAGCCUGUAAAGAGAAGAGCAGGAUACUCUUUCAGGCCUGGAGAAUUCCAGAGGAUCUGGGCUUUACAGUGUUUUCAUAUGUCAACCCAUUUGUCUUCCCCCUGCAACUUCCCCACAAGGUCCUGACCUUGGCAUGGCAGACCUGCUACCACUGAGACUUCUCUGCUCCUUUGGGUACCUCUACUCCGCAACUCAGUUUGGGGCCAGACUCUGAGCCACAUCUGCCCUCCAGUUGCAAAAGAGAAAGGUCUCUUUAUAUGCUGCCAAAGAGGCUCUCUGCUUUCCAUACUCUGCUUAUAUUGAUGUUCAGUUAUCACCGGCCCAUUAUCACCCUUCUCCAAUGCACUGGGAAUUCCCAGCAGUGACCGCCAUUGUAUAGUGUUUCUAAUGACAAUUUCCAAGAAAUUCUAAACACUUGAGCAUUCCAUCAGGGCACUCUCCUCCCAAGUACGGAGUCCUAAGUCACCAGCAGUGAAAAUUUCAGCAAGUGUACCACUGUGGCAAACACCUACCCCAGGGGACAAGGUGCUCAUAGCAGGUUCUGGCAGCUGACCCAGCUUUGGCAUCCUCCUGGGUGCAAUUCCGUAGGUCAGUUUCCCCAGCACACAGUGUGCCAUGCUGUCCUGGGAGUGGUCUCCGGACCAACACCUUCAAGAGGUAGGGGAGGAGGGAGCAAGCCGAGGGAGAAGCUAAACUGUGGUCCAGUUGCAAGGAAGGCCUUAGCCAAUCCGACCAGGAGCUCUGGAGCUGGACUCUCUCCAACUGAGGCACGGGGGCUGGACCUCUAGAAUGUAGGCUGCCCCAGGAAAGGGAUGUAGCCUUGAGCGAGGCUGCUUUCCAGGGCCAAGGCCAAUUCUACAAAGAAAUUCAGCAAGAAGCUGGUCGCCGGCUCUUACAGAACUGGGGGAAUGAGUGUCUGGAUGCUGAAGGCACAUCUGGGCAGCACAUCUCUUCACUUUUCAAAGAGACUGAGAGAUUAGCUUAGUUGUUCUUUUUUAAAAAAUGAUUACACAAAGACUGUAAUUUGCAUCUUUAAUAUAAUAUACACUGAAUGAAUGUUCCACCACUUCAAGUGUGAGAUUUUUAGAGUAAAUUCACAUUUAUGCUCGCCAUCUUUUGUGUUAUGAUAUCCUAUGUUUUACUUCUAAAUAUGUCAUAAACCCCAUAGCACGUUGCUACUAUCCCGGCUUUAACAAUCACCCUUCCACACACUUUUACUAAAAUCAGUCUGUCAUAUUUACUCACUUGUUUAUACUUCCAAGUGAUCUUCAUUUCUUCUCAUAGACCCGCCUUUCCCAUCCUGCCCCUACUGGAGCUAAGAAGGGGUUACGUUGGGAUUCCAGAGGCUGGUGGUUCUUUGUGGGUUAAAAUCUGUCUGGGCUUCUGACUCCGGGCACCCCGGGGCCUGUUUUCCGGCUCUUCUCCCACUCUGCCUCCUCGAAUGAGGUAGAAUAUGCAAGAGAGUAUGCUGGGCUGGGUGAUUCGUCUGGGGCUCUUCCUGAUCCCACCUUCCCGCCAGCCCAGGUCCCGUCAGACUCAUCCGAAUCUCCCUGUCCCUGCAGUCUCCCCACUUGCGGGGGAUCCUCCUCCACCUGCUCACCUAGAAUCCGGGAGCAAGCUGCUCCCUAGGAAGGACCCACUUCUCUGGUCCUCAGUUCAUCGGGUGCUCCUACAUCCCACUGCUUUUAAGGAGCCUGACAGAAAAUCCCACUCUUACGUUUGCCAAGUUUCUCUGGCUGUUACCCCAGGAACAAAGGUCUUUCUCAUUCUUCAAUGAUCUAACUGGAAGCAGAAAUCCUCUGCUUCGUGGCUUCGCUUCUCUUUUCUCCUUUAUCAGCUGGUGGUUGUGAGACGCUAAGGAGGAACAUAGGGUCUGGCGAGACUGGGGUGAUCACAGAGCUCUGGUUGAGCCAGGCCAGUGCGUGACCGACACACGUCCCCCCAGCUGAGAGGAAACACUGGGCAGUGAGGACACGCAUACCCGCAGCUGAGAGGAAA